rnacentral:tRNA from 1 species
GCUCCUGUAGCUCAGUGGUUAGAGCGACGGCCUUAUGAGCCGUAGGUCGUGGGUUCGACUCUCGUCGGGACUA